GAUGAACGCUAGCUACAGGCUUAACACAUGCAAGUCGAGGGACCGGCGCACGGGUGAGUAACACGUAUCCAACCUGCCCUUUACUCGGGGAUAGCCUUUCGAAAGAAAGAUUAAUACCCGAUAUAAAGGAUGGUGAUGCGUUCCAUUAGGUUGUUGGUGAGGUAACGGCCCACCAAGCCUUCGAUGGAUAGGGGUUCUGAGAGGAAGGUCCCCCACAUUGGAACUGAGACACGGUCCAACCUCGUACGGGAGGGAGCAGUGAGGAAGAUUGGUCAAUAGGCGCUAUCCUGAACCAGCCAAGUAGCGUGAAGGAUGAAGGCUUAUGGGUCGUAAACUUCUUGUAUAUAAGAAGAUGUAUUAUAUGAAUAAGGAUCGGCUAACUCCGUGCCAGCCGCCGCAGUAAUAC
rnacentral:rRNA from 1 species